AAAUUUUAAAAAAAAUAAACGAGGUUUUGUGUUUGUCUUGCAGUAUGUUCUCCGUGAAUUCAGCUUUGCAGGGUACACAAAACUUUGAGAAGAAGGGACAAACAACGCACGGGGAAGAGUGAGGGUUAGUUUAGGAAAAAAUCAAGUGUAGAUUUUUUUUGUUAAAUUAAUGUACUUUUUAAAUGUAUAUAUUUUUGAAUUUGUUCUACAACGAAAUUGAUAGGAUUUGAAACGCAUAGUUUCUUAGAUAAAAAAAGUAAUAAACAACUAAAGAAUUUUUAAACAAUUUUCUCUUUGAAGUUCAUUGUCUUUUCUAAUUAUGUUUUGCAGAUUAAAGCUGUAAAAGACCGACUUUAACAGGAAAAAAACAACAAUAAGCAUUUCCUUACAGAAUUAAUAGAGAUGUCCGACCAAGAAAUGUUUUACUCUGAAUACGUGAUCUGCAUCUUUUUCUUUUAAAA
rnacentral:lncRNA from 1 species